rnacentral:rRNA from 1 species
UACGGAGGGGGCGAGCGUUGUCCGAAGUUACUGGGCGUAAAGCGCGCGUAGGCGGGUUGGCAAGUCCGCUGUGAAAGCCCGAGGCUCAACCUCGGAGGGUCGGUGGAUACUGCCAGUCUUGAAGCAGCUAGGGGAAGAUGGAAUUACCGGUGUAGCGGUGAAAUGCGUAGAUAUCGGGAGGAACACCUGUGGCGAAAGCGGCUCACUGGACCACAA